rnacentral:rRNA from 1 species
ACGCUGGCGGCAGGCUCACCAUGCAUGAUCGAACGGAUCCUUCGGGAUUAGUGGCGGACGGGUGAGUAACACGUGGGAACGUGCCCUUUGGUUCGGAACAACUCAGGGAAACUUGAGCUAAUACCGGAUGUGCCCUUCGGGGGAAAGAUUUAUCGCCAUUGGAGCGGCCCGCGUCUGAUUAGCUAGUUGGUGGGGUAAAGGCCCACCAAGGCGACGAUCAGUAGCUGGUCUGAGAGGAUGAUCAGCCACAUUGGGACUGAGACACGGCCCAAACUCCUACGGGAGGCAGCAGUGGGGAAUCUUGCGCAAUGGGCGAAAGCCUGACGCAGCCAUGCCGCGUGAAUGAUGAAGGUCUUAGGAUUGUAAAAUUCUUUCACCGGGGACGAUAAUGACGGU